rnacentral:RNase_P_RNA from 1 species
AGAAAUGUGAGGAAAGUCCGUGCAUUCAAGGACAGACUGCCAGAGAAACUCUGGACGGCGUGAGUCGGUGGAAAGUGCCACAGAAAUGAACUCGUUCCGCUUAUAAGGUUUAAGACUUACAAUGAACGAAACUGCCGAUGGAUUUAUAUCACAGGCGAUGGUGCAACGGUGAGUUAAGAGCUUCACCAGCAAUAACGAGAGUUAUUGGCUAGGUAAACCCCAGUCGAAUGCAAGAUUAACUUGAAGGUUACAAAGGCUGUCCGCCAACUUCAGACAAAUCGCUAGAGCUUGCGAGCAAUCGCAUUCCCAGACAGAUAAUUAUCUAAAACAGAACACGGCUUAUGGAUUAC